CAUCUCCCCUUUCGCGGGUUGUUCUUCUUUUUUCCCCUCAUUAUUCACUCACGGGUACUGCUUGUGACGGCAGGUCUCAACGUCUCAACAGAGACACCUGUAUCCGAAGACCUCAGAGAAGUUAUCUUCUUCUCCAAUGAUCAAUGUGAUAUACUCCUCAGGAGAGUUCAUAUCUGAACACAUCUUAAAAACAGAAGAGAGGAAGACACAAUCAGUGCCUCGACAAGGCUGGGUAGAGGCGAAAGAGAUGGGAACAUUUAUAAUCCUGCUUUCAGCACUCGUCACUGACACAAGAAACCUCUCGAUGCUUCAGUCCAUUUCCACACGGUGACGAACACUACAUAGAGCGACACUGCUUCACUGAGCGAAUGAAGCACGAAAGGAGCUGAAGGCAAAGGAGAGCGAGGCUUCCCUGGAUCCUGGAUGGGAGAGGAACGGAUAAUCAAAGGGCCUCGUUGAGAGAGAAUGAAUAUGAUGCGACAAGUCUGAAGUUGAACGAGUCCAUUCCCAGCAUGCAUGCAUGAAAUACAGGAACUAAAAGAAUAGAAACUCCCCAAUUGGAUGUGUUCCUGAGGAUACUUUUUCAUUAGAGUCUAGCAAAGUCAAUGUGUCACAGUUGCAUUUUAAGUUGAUGGAAUUUAUUUAGAAACCAGAACAAAGCAAUCAGUUUAACAUUCAAAUAUAUAUUUGCUUUUCUAAAUAUUUACAGUAUCAAAAUAUAUACAAUUGGUUCAACUGAAUACAUAUUAUACAAAAUUCAAUACCAAUAACAUGGACAGCUGAAGCAAAAUAAAGAAAUAAAAAACACCUCGCAUAAAAUAAUAUAAAAAUGCACAUUUAUCUUUAAAGCAAGAACGCUAUGUACCACUUUAAUAAUUCAUCCAAAACCUUAGAUAUUGAUAUUAAUUCAUAAUAAAUCAUACACUUGCUCACUCUGCCUCAGAAUUUUACAGUGUCUGUGUGUUUAUGUGUGAGAAUAUGUAACCGUGAAAAGGGUUUCAUUUUCUUUUAGAAAUUCUAAAUGCUACAAGUGCAAUCAAAGAUGAAUACUUAGUUUUGUGUAGGUGCAUGAAAAACUGUCAGGCCUCAAUAAACUGACUUGUAAUCAA